CCUACGGGUGGCUGCAGUGAGGAAUAUUGGUCAAUGGACGAGCGUCUGAACCAGCCAAGUAGCGUGAAGGAUGACUGCCCUAUGGGUUGUAAACUUCUUUUAUAUGGGAAUAAAAUGUUCCACGUGUGGGAUUUUGUAUGUACCAUAUGAAUAAGGAUCGGCUAACUCCGUGCCAGCAGCCGCGGUAAUACGGAGGAUCCGAGCGUUAUCCGGCUUUAUUGGGUUUAAAGGGAUCGUAGGUGGAUUGUUAAGUCAGUUGUGAAAGUUUGCGGCUCAACCGUAAAAUUGCAGUUGAAACUGGCAGUCUUGAGUACAGGAGAGGUGGGCGGAAUUCGUGGUGUAGCGGUGAAAUGCUUAGAUAUCACGAAGAACUCCGAUUGCGAAGGCAGUUCACUGGACUGCAACUGACACUGAGGCUCGAAAGUGUGGGUAUCAAACAGGAUUAGAUACCCCAGUAGUC
rnacentral:rRNA from 1 species